CAGGAGAUCCUGAUACAGAAGUCCCCGUCACAGCAAUGAGGCAGAAAAGCAGAUAGGACAGCAGAGAAGCAUGAUGGCUUCCACGAUGGAGACAAUUUUUACCCACACUGUGGCAGAGAUACAUCAAGUACAGCACAUUAGCCUGACUGCACACGAUGUAUCAGAUGCUGCUGAGGUAAAGAAGGUUCAGUGCCACUACCUCCUAAAUAUUAAAACAAUCCUUCAAGCUGUCAAUUAGCAGGUUCAGUGUGAGAGAACAGCUUCCAGCCAGACUGACCAUCAUCUCCCCUGCCCCAGCGUACAACAGCACUGCAACUGAAUAUUUAGCUUCGUGCAGGUAGGAACAAUACUUAAAUAUCAGGAGGCAGCAAGGUAAAAGAAACAUCAAUUGCCCAGCUACACAGCACUAAGGCAGCCACUGACAGCUGAUGCACUUACACCACACCAUAUUAGAUGAGAGAAAAUAAGUAUUCCUUGGGGCAAAUUCUUCAUUCUGAUGUAUAUUGCAGCCACCAGGGUAACCACAGCCUCAUGUACCAGGACAUAUCAUGGCUUACUGAGGUAAAAAAGAAAUGCUAGAGCUGCACAACCCAGAAACUUCAACUACAAAAGAGCUGUAGACAUUCAUAAUACAUGGCACAAUACUAUACCAAAUUUUCCCUCAUGCUGUACAAAGAAACAUUAAUCAAGUUUAAGAGAGGUCUGGCUUUUGUAAAUUCUAGAGAAAGGAGCUUGCAAUAAAUACAGUGCGAAAAUUCAAACCCUCUUGCCCUGUCCUGCUCUCUGCAAACUAGCAUGUAUUGUCCUCUUCAGCUAUGUGGCACAUGCAAAUCAGGACAAAUCCCUGAAAGAAAUCACACGCCAAGACACUUCUGAGAGAGAACUAGACCCUUGUGAUUCCUUUGGAACAUCACUUUGAACACUUAAGAUUUUUCAUAUGUUUUCACUAACUUUCCAGUGCGUUGCAGUUCUGGUCCAGAGUGUCCCCCAGGAUGUUCUGCUUCCCCAUGGGCUGCAGUUCCAUUUGGCACUCCUGGGAUCUUACGCUUCUCCUACCAAAAGGAAAAUACAUUUCUCAUGGGUCUUAGCACCGAAACAUAAUUUUAGUAGAAAAAAAAUUAAAAACAGCUCUGAAAGUUAAAAGCUUAAACAUAAAAAUGUUAUUUUAAGAUUCGUCAACAUAACCUCUUGAUAAGCUGUAGAGGAGUUCUAUUACCAGACAGUUAAUAGUAAAAAGAAUUGUGAUUCUGUGAGAUUUAAAGAACUGAUCACAAAAAAUCUUGUAUCAGAAAACAUUUUAAAGAAUAGCAAGCUUUGAUCAAUUCUUGCAAUAAGCUUAGAACAAAAGCAAACCAUGGCUAUUUGAAAUAAUCAAGGAUGCUUAUUACCACUUAUCCCUGAAUUUAAUAUCUUUAGAUACAACUGCCUGCAUUUAUUCAGGAGAGAACUAGUACUGAACUAAACCAAAUGUCAUCACUACACUGUAUGCUUGCAAGUCAAGGUUUCUCUUAAAGAAAAUUAACCUAAAAUAAAGAGAGCAUGCAAAAUAUAGUGACCUUGCUAAAUGCUAAAUUAAGGAGACUUUACAUAACAAAAAUUCAUCACAACUUUUAGAAGUGUCUGAAUUUUACGCUGUACAAACCUGAGAGGGAACAUUUUUAGGUGGUUCUAUUCGAAUUGUUGGGUCCCACUCUCCAGGAGGGAGAACAGUAACCUGAUCAAGGAACUCAUCAAUUCCAGACACCAAGUCAUUGCGGUCUUUUGCUUUGUAAGCGACAUCAUGGAAUACCUGUGAAAAAUUGAGAAGUAUGUGUGGGAGGAGAAAGAGAUGGAAAAAGGAACUCUCUCGACAGUUUUUCACAAUGGCCCCUCUUCUCUGAAACAGAACACACUUUGUAAAGUUCCCACUAACGAAACAAUCUCAGCUUCAACUGAAGAUAGUUUCUGGUACAUAGUUCUCAUAGAAAUUCCAGCUGCUACAGAAAAACAUCCUUAUGGCUGCUAAAUAUUCUAGAGAUUUUACAUCCUAAACACAAGCAAAUCCACUGGAAAGCAACUGUGUAAAAUGGAAUCUUAUUGGUGAAGAUAUCUUUGCUUGUGAAUACUGUGUCUCAUUUUGUUAUCUCCUUACAGCAGCAUAAUAUGGGCUGUCACAGGAUCAUGAAAUGAACUAGAAUGCUCUUUGUCAUCACCAGAAUGAUUAGCCACAUUUCAUCUGAAGGAUUGGAGAUUCCCUAUUACACCUCUUCAGUUAGUACAAAACUGAACCAUGAAUAAAACCAAACCAUGAAUAAAAAUACCUCAUCUGUCA